rnacentral:tRNA from 1 species
GGGUGCGUAGCUCAGCGGUAGAGCACUGCGUUCACAUCGCAGGGGUCACAGGUUCAAGCCCUGUCGCACCCACCA